rnacentral:rRNA from 1 species
AGCAGUCGCCGCGGUAAUACGUAGGUGGCAAGCGUUGUCCGGAAUUAUUGGGCGUAAAGGGCUCGCAGGCGGUUUCUUAAGUCUGAUGUGAAAGCCCUCGGCUCAACCGGGGAGGGUCAUUGGAAACUGGGAAACUUGAGUGCAGAAGAGGAGAGUGGAAUUCCACGUGUAGCGGUGAAAUGCGUAGAGAUGUGGAGGAACACGAGUGGCGAAGGCGACUCUCUGGUCUGUAACUGACGCUGAGGAGCGAAAGCGUGGGGAGCGAACAGGAUUAGAUACCCCGGUAGUCCCUGUCUCUUAUAC